rnacentral:misc_RNA from 1 species
UACGGAGGGAGCUAGCGUUGUUCGGAAUUACUGGGCGUAAAGCGCGCGUAGGCGGUCUAUCAAGUCAGAGGUGAAAUCCCGGGGCUCAACCCCGGAACUGCCUUUGAAACUAGCAGACUGGAAUCUUGGAGAGGUCAGUGGAAUUCCGAGUGUAGAGGUGAAAUUCGUAGAUAUUCGGAAGAACACCAGUGGCGAAGGCGACUGACUGGACAAGUAUUGACGCUGAGGUGCGAAAGCGUGGGGAGCAAACAGG